ensembl:lncRNA
UUUUUUUUUUUUUUUUGGUCUUUUUAGGGCAGCACCUGCGGCAUAUGGAGGCUAGGGAUCCAAUUGGAGCUACAGCCUCUGGCCUACGCCACAGACACAGCAACGCAGGAUCCGAGCUGUGUCUGCAACCUACACCAUAGCUCAUGGCAACGCCGGAUCCUUAACCCACUGAGCAAGGCCAGGGAUUGAACCUGUGUCCUCACGGACGCUGGUCAGAUUCGUUUCCACUGAGCCACGAUGGAAAUUCCUGUACUUAACAGUAUCUAAAAGGAAAAACUAUUCCUCUACACCAUGACAUCCAAUGUGUGCGGUUUCUGCACACCAACCAAUUCUCCAACUGAGCCUCCUACAAUUCAGUUCUCACACUGUCUGAAGACAGCAUCAGAGCACAACCAAGGGCUCAGUCCCACAAGACUGCCCUCUACUACAGACACCAACGGCAAGGGGUUGGUUUCUCAGUUGUCCACACUUCUCUCCAACCUGGCUACAAAUCAGGGUUCUCACAACCCCCUCCUCAGGUUAGAUAAUUUAAUAUAACAGCUCACAGAGGUUAGGCAAACACUCCCACUCACCAAUUUACUAUAUAAUAAAGGACACAGACAAACAGCCAGAUGAAGAGAUACAAAGGGCAAGGUCUAACAGAGUCCUAAGCAUAGGAACUUCUAUCCCUAUGGAGCUGGGACUGGGGGCCGGGGGUGUGCCACCUUCCAGCACAUGGAUGUGGUCCCCAGCUCUGUGGUUCAUGGACAAUUGUGGAGAAUUCAUCAUGUAUUCAUGAAUCAAUGGUUAACUCAUCAAGAAUCAUUCAUGGAUUUUUUUUUUCCUAGGGACAUACCCAAGGCAUAUGGAAGUUCCCAGGCUAGGGGUCAAAUCAGAGCUGUAGCUGCUGGCUCUCACCACAACCACAGAAACCCCAGAUCUGAGCUGCAUCUGUGACCUACACCACAGCUCAUGGCAAUGCCAGAUCCUUAACCCACUGAGCAAGGCCAGGGAUUGAGCCUGCAUCCUCAUGGAUACCAGUCAGAUUCAUUUCUGCUGAGCCAUGACAGGAACUUCAAGAAUCAUUCAUGAAUUCAUGAUCAAAGGUGAACUCAAUCUGUGGUCCCUCUUCAAGCGUCUAAUCCUGGCUUGGUCUUCCUGGUGACCAGACCUCAUCCCACAGCAUCCAGGAGCCCACCCAAAGGCACCUCAUUAGAACAGAGGUGAAGGAAUGAAUGAAGGAAGGAAUGAAUGAAGGUGGACCCAGGUCCCCCCAAAAAAUGAUUUCCUAAGAUCUUUCUCAAGCAGGUGAGACCAGUUUCCCUUUCAGCAGCCCCCUGGGCAGAGAACCCUGUGUGAAGAGUUAGGGGCACAAAGCCCAGUGUUUUCAAAGCCUGGGGAGCCAGACUGGACAGGUGCAGGGCUUGUGGUGGGGCUUGUGGAGCCAGUGCUGCUCUGGGGGCUACAGGAGGUGGCCAGCCUCAGUGAGGGCUCAUCCCUGGGGUCCUCCCUUGCCCACAGUCGUGACUGGCCUGGCUGGUGGUGAAGGUGAACAGGACUUGCUUAGGACUGGCCACCUGGUCCAGCUCUAGGAACUGACCCUGACCCUGGGCCUUCAGCCCAGCCCCUCAGACCCCACCAGGGAGAUACUCACCUCCAACGUGGGGCUGCACAAGUGUGGCCGGUGAGAGGAGACAAAGAUGAGGUGGGCUUUGGCGUUAGAAGCCAAAAAAAAUCACAUCCUGGCCAGAGGCUUCCCUGAACUCCCACUGCGAUCUGUGUCUGGGGGCCAAAAAAUAGGGUCUUCAGAUCAUCUCCAAGGCUCCUGGGUUCUGGUCAGGGCCCCGCCAUUGGACCGACUCGCCCACAGUGAAACCUGGGACCCGGCUGGGUCAGGGCUCCCAAGACCUCCCAUCUCUGACCUCCGGCUUUCUCUUAGGCUGGCAGGAGGUCAUCGAUGAGGCCUGAGUUCUCCACCUCCUUAUGAAGCCUUCCCCUCUUCCCUCUCUUCACUGAGACGAGCCCAGGCUCACCUGUGGGCCUCUGACUUCUCCUCCCCAGGUGGGCCUGGAGAGCCUGGUCUACACCCAAUACCCAGCACACUCCACCCGCCACCUGGCCUUCUGUGAUUUUCAAUUGUUCUUCAGGUGUUUCUCGUAGCUUUUCUAAACAGUCUGUCAUCUGCAAAUACUAGUUUAUUCUUUUCCAAUAUUUAUGCUAAUGGAUUUCCCAUCUCUUAUUUAACUACACAGGUUCUCAGUAGCAGCACUAUUGACAUUUUUUGGCCAAAUAACUCUUUGUGACCAGGGUCUGUCCUAUGCCUUGGAGGACGUUUAGCAGUAUCUCUGGCCUCUGCCUUCCGGAUGCUAGAAACACUUCCUAGUUGUGACGCCUAAAAAUAUUUCCAGACAUUGCCAAAUAUCCACCAAGAGGCAAAAUCAACCCAGUUGAGAACCCCUGGCCUGAGUACCUCUAGAACAAUGCUGGAUCAUAGUAAUGGGAGUGCAUUACUGCUCCUGAUUUUAACAGGAACAGGUCUAGUAUUAAAGUAUACACUAGUAGGUGUAUACUCCAGUCCAGGACUAGUACACAAGUGUACUGUGUCUAAGUUUACUUUGCAAAAAGAAAAAAAAAAGGAAAAACAUGACUUCCAUACAAGUGAAGGAAUGUGUAUCAAAUAUUUAAUGAAUGAGGGAACAGUAAAAUGGUAAAGCUAAUUCCAGGAGCAUUUUGAGAAGUAUUUCUAGUUCCCAGAAAGGUAUUUUGAAGUGUGUGCUGAGUUAAGAGACAAAACCUGACAAUAUCCUAUGGGGCAAUAAAACUGUAAUCUUUGGGGUUUUCUACUGGAGAGAAAUCUAUGAGUUAACAUAUAAUUUCUCAGGUAUAUUUUCCUACAUUAGUGAUUUUCAAAGUAUAGUCCCCAAAUUGGAAAUAUCAGCCUACUAGGAACUUGUUAGAAAUGCAAAAUUUCAGGUCCUAUCCCAGACCUCUUUAAUUAGAAACCCUGGGGAUGAGGCCAACACUGUUUUAAUAAGCCCUGCAGGUGAUUCUGAUACACUCUAAAAUUUGAGAACCACGGCUCUAAAUAGUCAAAUAAUCAUUAUUUGUAAAACAAAUCUAUGAGACAAUGUUCCAGUAUGACAUUAAAAGGACAUGCCACCCAC